UUGAGAGUUUGAUCCUAGCUCAGGAUGAACGCUGGCGGCGUGCCUUAGGCAUGCAAGUCGAACGGCCGGAGAUCAGAUUUCGGAAAUCGGAUUUCGGAUAUAAUUAGAGAAGUGAUGGAUGUAACGGAAUUGAGAGUGUAUAGGCAAUCAUUAGAUGCAUUUCUAUUAAUUGAAGAGAUUGCAAAACAAUUGCCAAAAGAGUUAGCUGAUACAAGAAGACAAAUAUUAAGAUGCUCAAAAGCUGUUGCACCCAUUAUUGCAGAGGGUUUUGGACGUAGACAUUCACAAAGAGAAUUUGGACAUUACGUAAUUCAAGCUAUGAGUUCUUCAGAUGAGACAAUAACCCAUUUGAGAACAAUUGCUAUUUCCAAAUUUAAUACUGUUUCAAUCGAUCAGUUGAAACAUGCGGCGAGUGUCUAUAAAUCUCUUUCCAAACAACUCAACAAACUUUUCACUUCUUUAAUAGUCUGAAAUCUGACUUCUGAUAUCCGAUCUCCGGCAGUGGCGGAAGGGUGAGUAAUGCAUAGGAACGUACCUUUUGGUGGGGAAUAACCCGGCGAAAGCCGGGCUAAUACCUCGUAAUCCCGCAAGGGUAUAGGGCUUAACCGCCCGCCGAAAGAGUGGCCUAUGUCCUAUCAGCUUGUUGGUGGGGUAAUGGCCUACCAAGGCAACGACGGGUAGCUGGGCUGAGAGGUCGGCCAGCCACAAGGGAACUGAGACACGGUCCCUACACCUACGGGUGGCAGCAACCGGGAAUUUUGGACAAUGGGCGAAAGCCUGAUCCAGCGACGCCGCGUGGAGGAAGAAGGCCUUAGGGUUGUAAACUCCUUUUGGCCCGCAUAAUGCGGGCAGAAUAAGCACCUGCUAACUACGUGCCAGCAGCCGCGGUGAUACGUAGGGUGCAAGCGUUAUCCGGAUUUACUGGGCGUAAAGGGUUGCGUAGGCGGCUUGUUAAGUCAAAACUGAAAUACUCUCGCUCAACGAGGGGGACGGUUUUGAUACUAGCAGGCUUUGAGUCUUUCAGAGGUAGCUGGAACUUGCAGUGGAGCGGUGAAAUGCGUUGAUAUUGCAAGGAACACCGAAGGCGUAGGCAAGCUACUGGGAAAGAUCCCUGUACCAUUCGGUACGGGACGGGCUGCAUCGUAAGAUGCGCCUAGUCUGACGCUGAUGCACGAAAGCUAGGGGAGCGAAAGGGAUUAGAGACCCCUGUAGUCCUAGCCGUAAAUGAUGGAUACUAGAUGUCCGGCUCGCAAAGUCGUAUGACUUUGCGAGAACAUUUGACAUUUAACAAAUUAACAUUUGACUAUUGGAAAAUUUUGUAAAUUUUUUAAGUCAAUUGUUAAAUGUUACUAGUUAAUUGUUCGAGCAAAAUCGUAGAUUUUGCGAGCUGGAUGUCGCAAGCUAACGCGUUAAGUGUCCCGCCUGGGAAGUACGGCCGCAAGGCUAAAACUCAAAGGAAUUGACGGGGACCCGCACAAGCGGUGGAGCAUGUGGUUCAAUUCGACACAAAGCGAAAAACCUUACCAGGAUUUGACAUCCUAACUGCACCCUAGUGGAAACACCGGGCUUCUUCGAGAGUGUUAGGACAGGUGCUGCAUGGCUGUCGUCAGCUUGUACCGUGAGGCGCACCCUUAAGUGGGUCAACAAGCGCAACCCCCAUCCUGUGUUAUAUUUCACAGGAAACUGCCCGCUAAAAGCGAGGAGGAAGGUGGGGAUGACGUCAAGUCAGCACGGCCCUUAUGUCCUGGGCUACACACAUCCUACAAUGGGUAUUUGACAACAGGUUUGCAAUCCGGUAACGGAAAGCUAAUCCCCAAAAAUACCCUCAGUUCAGAUUGAGGGCUGCAAUUUGCCCUCAUGAAGUUGAAAUCGCUAGUAAUCGCGGAUCAGCAGGCCGCGGUGAAUACGUUCUCGGGUCUUGUACACACCGCC
rnacentral:rRNA from 1 species